rnacentral:lncRNA from 1 species
AGCCCGCCCAACUCCGGCGAGCCGGGCCUGCGCCUACUCCUCCUCCUCCUCUCCCGGCGGCGGCUGCGGCGGAGGCGCCGACUCGGCCUUGCGCCCGCCCUCAGGCCCGCGCGGGCGGCGCAGCGAGGCCCCGGGCGGCGGGUGGUGGCUGCCAGGCGGCUCGGCCGCGGGCGCUGCCCGGCCCCGGCGAGCGGAGGGCGGAGCGCGGCGCCGGAGCCGAGGGCGCGCCGCGGAGGGGGUGCUGGGCCGCGCUGUGCCCGGCCGGGCGGCGGCUGCAAGAGGAGGCCGGAGGCGAGCGCGGGGCCGGCGGUGGGCGCGCAGGGCGGCUCGCAGCUCGCAGCCGGGGCCGGGCCAGGCGUCCAGGCAGGUGAUCGGUGUGGCGGCGGCGGCGGCGGCGGCCCCAGACUCCCUCCGGAGUUCUUCUUGGGGCUGAUGUCCGCAAAUAUGCAGAAUUACCGGCCGGGUCGCUCCUGAAGCCAGCGCGGGGAGCGAGCGCGGCGGCGGCCAGCACCGGGAACGCACCGAGGAAGAAGCCCAGCCCCCGCCCUCCGCCCCUUCCGUCCCCACCCCCUACCCGGCGGCCCAGGAGGCUCCCCGCGCUGCGGGCGCGCACUCCCUGUUUCUCCUCCUCCUGGCUGGCGCUGCCUGCCUCUCCGCACUCACUGCUCGCGCCGGGCGCGCUCCGCCAGCUCCGUGCUCCCCGCGCCACCCUCCUCCGGGCCGCGCUCCCUAAGGGAUGGUACUGAAUUUCGCCGCCACAGGAGACCGGCUGGAGCGCCCGCCCCGCGGCCUCGCCUCUCCUCCGAGCAGCCAGCGCCUCGGGACGCGAUGAGGACCUUGGCUUGCCUGCUGCUCCUCGGCUGCGGAUACCUCGCCCAUGUUCUGGCCGAGGAAGCCGAGAUCCCCCGCGAGGUGAUCGAGAGGCUGGCCCGCAGUCAGAUCCACAGCAUCCGGGACCUCCAGCGACUCCUGGAGAUAGACUCCGUAGGGAGUGAGGAUUCUUUGGACACCAGCCUGAGAGCUCACGGGGUCCAUGCCACUAAGCAUGUGCCCGAGAAGCGGCCCCUGCCCAUUCGGAGGAAGAGAAGCAUCGAGGAAGCUGUCCCCGCUGUCUGCAAGACCAGGACGGUCAUUUACGAGAUUCCUCGGAGUCAGGUCGACCCCACGUCCGCCAACUUCCUGAUCUGGCCCCCGUGCGUGGAGGUGAAACGCUGCACCGGCUGCUGCAACACGAGCAGUGUCAAGUGCCAGCCCUCCCGCGUCCACCACCGCAGCGUCAAGGUGGCCAAGGUGGAAUACGUCAGGAAGAAGCC